rnacentral:rRNA from 1 species
CAAAAAGCGUCAAAGCACACCGUCACUAAUAUUUCUAAUUUCCCCCACCCCAAUAAACCCUCCACCCGUAUUGAAUGACCCCAUUAAACUAUGGGAACCACCCUGUUUGAACUAGUAACCAGAAUUCGAAAUUCUCCUAGAUGUAAGUAUAAGCCGCAACGGACAACCCAACGGCAAUUAAAGUAAAUGAAACUAUUGCAGCAACCUAGUUACAAAAACCUGCAAUAACAAACGUUAACCUAACACAAGAACAUCCCAAGAAAGAUUAAAAAAGAGAGAAGGAACUCGGCAAACCUCAAACCCCGCCUGUUUACCAAAAACAUCGCCUCUUGAUAAACUAUAAGAGGUCCAGCCUGCCCAAUGAUUAAUUAAAUGGCCGCGGUAUCCUAACCGUGCAAAGGUAGCAUAAUAACUUGCCCCUUAAUUAGGGACUAGCAUGAACGGCACCACGAGGGUUAAACUGUCUCCCCUCUUUAAUCAGUGAAACUGACCUCCCCGUGAAAAGGCGGGAAUUUAACUACAAGACGAGAAGACCCCAUGGAGCUUUAGACCUAAAGCACAUCAAAUAUCUACUUCACCAAAAUUUAUAGUACCUGACUCCAAGUCUUAGGUUGGGGCAACCGUGGAGCAAAACCUAACCUCCAUUAUGAAUGGAUAUAAUCCUAACCCAAGAAUUACAAUUCUAAGAAUCAAUAAAUUGACACCCACUGACCCAAAAUUUGAUCAACGAACCAAGUUACCCUGGGGAUAACAGCGCCAUCUACCUCAAGAGUUCAUAUCGACAGGUGGGUUUACGACCUCGAUGUUGGAUCAGGGUACCCCUGUGGUGCAACCGCUACAUAAGGUUCGUUUGU